rnacentral:lncRNA from 1 species
AGGAAUGCACCGUGGCUCUGCUUAGCUGAAGAUGGAGACGUAAUAUUUAUUUGCUGAUGUGGAGCCCUCCACACGCUGCCCUGUCGGGAUGUCAAUAUAUAACGCAGCAGCACAGAAAUGUCAGCUUGUUCCACGGGAGCGACAGCGUUUCUCCGAGUUGCCAUGGGGGACCCCCGAUGCCUUUUUUUCUUUUUGGUCUGCCCUUGACCUAAUCUCAGGAGGUUUUGUUCUCUCCUGGGCUGUUUCUUAUCAGCUGUGUCUGCCCGUGUAGCCGGCUUCACAUCUGCUUUGACUUUAGUGCCUGUGACAUUUUCAUUAAUACUUCUCCAAGGUUGAGCCCUAUUCCAAAUACCCUGCAGCUCACGGAAGCUGUAGCUCAGCUGUGCCCGGCUGGGGGCUGCUGGGAAACUGGCCCCUCAUAUCGAUGAGCUUGGCCCGCUCCACCCAGUUGGGCCAAUCAGUCCUGCUGUGCUGGGUGGGGGGCUCUGGAGCCCAUCUAGGUCAGCAGAAUUGGGGCGUCAGACCCCAUGGGUGUGGCUGCCCAGGAAGUCUUGACUUCCCCUGGCCUGGGAUUACCUGCCCUCUGCCAGCCAGUCUUGUCCUCCCUCCUGCUGAAACUCAGAGCCUGGCCCAGGGAAGAUGAGCUCACAGUGGGCACAGGGUUCUGAC